rnacentral:snRNA from 1 species
AGCUUUGCACAGUGGCAGUAUCAUAGCCAAUGAAGUUUAUCUGAGGCAUGAUACUGUUAAUUCAAAAGUAUCUUUAAAUGCAC